rnacentral:rRNA from 1 species
UGCGUAGGCGGUCCCGCAAGUCCGUUGUGAAAGCCCCGGGCUUAACCUGGGAAUGGCAGUGGAAACUAGGGGACUUGAAUCUGGCAGAAGGGGGUGGAAUGCCACGUGUAGCAGUGAAAUGCGUAGAGAUGUGGCGGAACACCGAUGGCGAAGGCAGCCCCCUGGGCUGAGAUUGACGCUCAGGCACGAAAGCGUGGGGAGCAAACAGGAUUAGAUACCCUGGUAGUCCACGCCCUAAACGAUGAUCACUAGGUGUUGGGGAAGCGAUUUCUCAGUACCGCAGCUAACGCGUGAAGUGAUCCGCCUGGGGAGUACGGUCGCAAGAUUAAA